UACGGAGGGGGCUAGCGUUGUUCGGAAUUACUGGGCGUAAAGCGCGCGUAGGCGGCUUUGUAAGUUAGAGGUGAAAGCCCGGAGCUCAACUCCGGAACUGCCUUUAAAACUGCAUCGCUUGAAUCCAGGAGAGGUGAGUGGAAUUCCGAGUGUAGAGGUGAAAUUCGUAGAUAUUCGGAAGAACACCAGUGGCGAAGGCGACUCGCUGGACAAGUAUUGACGCUGAGGUGCGAAAGCGUGGGGAGCAAACAGG
rnacentral:rRNA from 1 species